rnacentral:misc_RNA from 1 species
AAAUUUCAAAGUCCUGCUGGCUACACAGUUAGGGCGUUUGGAUUUGUGGGGGUUGCUGGACAGUUUAAAUAUCAGCUCCUCUGAAAUUUAUUAGCGAAACUUUUGUUACUGGCUAUAUUCUAUGGGUAUGAUAAUUAUCUAUACCACUUGGAUAUCCAGGCUUUCUUUAUUGAAAGAGUUUUGCUUCCAAAUUGUCUUGAUUGAUUCAAGACAACUUAUCGAACA